UAAUUCAUGAUAGGUCAUCUCAUCUGGAAGGAGAGAUGGCUUAAAGGGAAACGCGGGCUUCUUCCGCGACAUUCGCUCCAGGAUGGGACUGCGGCCGAUCAGGCUGUUGGCGGGGUAAUGGCCCACCAAACCUGUUACCGGUACGGGCCUUGAGAGAGGGGGCCCGGAGAUGGACACUGAGAGAAAGGUCCAGGUCCUACGGGGCGCAGCAGGCGCGAAACCUUCGCAAUGCGCGAAAGCGUGACGAGGUUAAUCCGAGUGGUUCCCGCUUAGGGGAUCUUUUGUCGGCUCUAAAAAGGCCGGUGAAUAAGGGGAGGGCAAGUCUGGUGUCAGCCGCCGCGGUAAUACCAGCUCCUCGAGUGGUCGGGACGAUUAUUGGGCCUAAAGCAUCCGUAGCCUGUUCCGUAGGUCCUCCGUUAAAUCCAACGGCUUAACCGUUGACAUGCGGGGGAUACCGCGGGACUAGGAGGCGGGAGAGGCGGGCGGUACUCCACGUGUAGGGGUAAAAUCCUUUGAUCCGUGGAAGACCACCAGUGGCGAAGGCGGCCCGCCAGAACGCGCUCGACGGUGAGGGAUGAAAGCUGGGGGAGCGAACCGGAUUAGAUACCCGGGUAGUCCCAGCCGUAAACGAUGCGAGCCAGAUGAUCCAAUCGCAAAUCGCGAUUGGAGUGUCGCAGGGAAGCCGUUAAGCUCGCCGCCUGGGGAGUACGGUCGCA
rnacentral:rRNA from 1 species